rnacentral:misc_RNA from 1 species
CUAUGUUGUUGGAAGUGCUGGAAGUCCCGAAAAGGUUGAUUUAUUGAAGAACAAGUUUGGUUUUGAUGAGGCUUUCAAUUACAAAGAGGAGCCUGACUUGAAUGCUGCUUUGAAAAGAUACUUCCCUGAUGGGAUUGACAUCUACUUUGAAAAUGUUGGGGGCAAAAUGCUAGAUGCUGUGCUUCUAAACAUGAGAGUCCAUGGCCGUAUUGCUGCAUGUGGAAUGGUCUCACAGUACAAUCUUGAGAAGCCUGAAGAUGUCUGUAACCUGAUGUCUAUUGUUUAUAAACGGGUGAGCAUAAAAGGAUUCGUAGUUUUUGAUUAUUAUCACCUGUAUUCCAAGUUCUUGGAGGUUGUUUUGCCUUAUAUCAGAGAAGGAAAGAUAACAUAUGUGGAGGACAUUGUUGAAGGUCUAGAGAACGCCUCUGCAGCUCUUGUAGGUCUUUUUAGUGGGCAAAAUGUUGGAAAACAGGUGGUUGUAGUUGCUCGUGACUGAAAGAAAUCAUAGAACACUGGUUUAUAUGCGAAACCAUGUUGUCUAUUUUAUUCUAUAUCGUUCUAGGGUUCUUGCUGUACUUUGUGAACUUCUUGGAAAGGCGUUGGAUUGGCAGCUAAAACAGUUUUGUCUUUAGUACUUGAGAGUUGAAAAAGUUUUAGUAGUGCUGAAGAUGGAUGUUAUUAUUUGUAUCUCGCAAAAGAUAAAACCAACGGGAUUUAUUAUGUAGUGGCAAUGCGUUUAUGCUCAUAGUAUUGCAUGUCUACUGUAUACAGGCG